rnacentral:rRNA from 2 species
UACGGAGGGGGCUAGCGUUGUUCGGAAUUACUGGGCGUAAAGCGCACGUAGGCGGCUUUGUAAGUUAGAGGUGAAAGCCCGGAGCUCAACUCCGGAACUGCCUUUAAGACUGCAUCGCUUGAACGUCGGAGAGGUAAGUGGAAUUCCGAGUGUAGAGGUGAAAUUCGUAGAUAUUCGGAAGAACACCAGUGGCGAAGGCGACUUACUGGACGACUGUUGACGCUGAGGUGCGAAAGCGUGGGGAGCAAACAGG